GUCUCCAACGCAGUGCCCUCAUACACCCCCUUUGCCAAGACCUGCCUUUCCCAGUUUUUAAAAUGAGGGUUUUGCGGGGGCCUUUUUUGUUGCUAUUUGGUUGUGGGGGUGCCUUUUUUUAAAAAAAAAACUGUUUUAUUUGUUGUGUGCAUGGGGGGUCAGUGUUUUGGCUGUUGUUUGCCUGUUUGUUUCUGUGUGUGUAUUUCUGACCAUCACCAGAAAUACACAAUCACACACACACACACAAACACACAAUAGAUACUUGGCUGCUUUGAUUGGUUUUCUAUUAUGCUGUUUUUCAUUCUGCUUCUGACAUCAUUGUGGCAGAAACAGUAUGAAGUGUCACAAUCCUUACCUCCUACUUAGGGGGCUAGAAGAAGCUGUGUAUGGGCCCCAUGCAAAACAUGGUUCAUGCUUCUGGGGGACUGCCAAGUUCUUAUCGCGGAAUAGCAUCCUGAUAGGCUGGGUCAGCGAUGGCCUUCCUUGCAGGCCAUGCGACACAAGGUGAUAUCAGGCUUUGUUUAUCAUGAAAUUCUACUCAAUAGUGAUCCAGAGCAGAACUCCAAUGUAUAGGUAAAGGUAAAGGGGCCCCUGACCAUUAGGACCAGUCGUGGCCGACUCUGGGGUUGCGGCGCUCAUCUUGCUUUAUUGGCCGAGGGAGCCGGCAUACAGCUUCCGGGUCAUGUGGCCAGCAUGACGAAGCCGCUUCUGGCGAACCAAAGCAGCGCAUGGAAACACCGUUUACCUUCCCGCCAGAGCGGUACCUAUUUAUCUACUUGUGCUUUGAUGUGCGUUUGAACAACUUAAACACGUUGCAGGAUUCCCAAAAAAUAGACCAGAGGCAAUUGUAUUUCACCCAGCAGAGCUUGAUUGCUACUGAAGGCAAAUGAGCAUAAUGGUCACAAAUCCAAUACAUUAAGGAUUGGCACUGUCCAUAAGAAAUCCAGUUGCAGCAGACUUAACUUAAACUUACAAGAACUUAUAAUAAGUCUAAACCUCAACAGUAAGCGUACUGUGUACAGCAGGGGUCAGCAAACUUUUUCAGCAGGGGGCCGGUCCACCGUCCCUCAGACCUUGUGGGGGGCCAGACUAUAUUUGGGGGAGGGGGGAAUGAACAAAUUGCUAUGCCCUACAAAUAACCCAGAGAUGCAUUUUAAAUAAAAGGACAUAUUCUGCUCAUGUAAAAACACGCUGAUUCCCGGACCAUCUGCUGGCUGGAUUUAGAAGGCGAUUGGGCCGGAUCCGGCCCCCAGGCCUUAGUUUGCCAACCCAUGGUGUACAGAACACCACACCAG